ACGUUGAAACACUAUUUCCUUUACGAUCACCGAAGUUAAGCAACUUCGAGCCUGUUCCGUACCUAGAUGGGUGACCGCGUAGGAAUACCAGGUGUUGUAU